UGUGUAGGCGGUUUGGUAAGUCUGGUGUGAAAUCUCCCGGCUCAACUGGGAGGGUGCGCCGGAAACUGCCGGACUCGAGUGCGGGAGAGGAGAGUGGAAUUCCUGGUGUAGCGGUGAAAUGCGUAGAUAUCAGGAGGAACACCGGUGGUGUAGACGGCUCUCUGGACCGUAACUGACGCUGAAACACGAAAGCGUGGGUAGCAAACAGGAUUAGAUACCCUGGUAGUCCACGCCCUAAACGAUGCAUAUUUGGUGUGGGUCAUUCAGUUGAUCCGUGCCGGAGCUAACGCGUUAAAUAUGCCGCCUGGGGAUACAGUCGCAAGGCUGAA
rnacentral:rRNA from 1 species